AACGCACCUUGCGCUCCUUGGUAUUCCGAGGAGCAUGCCUGUUUGAGUGUCAUGGAAUUCUCAACCUUUGAAAGCUUUUAUCGGUUCUCAAAGGCUUGGACUUGGAGGUCGUGUCGGCUCUGCAAAGAAUAUCGACUCCUCUGAAACGUAUCAGUGCGAACCUUUACGGAUCGUCUUCGGUGUGAUAAACGUCUGCGCCGUGGUCGUGAAGUAACAUAAGCUGACGCUUCUAACCGUCCUUCAGUUGGACAACAUUAUAUGACAUCUGACCUCAAAUCAGGUAGGACUACCCGCUGAACCUAA
rnacentral:rRNA from 1 species